UGGUGGAGUGAUUUGUCUGGUUAAUUCCGAUAACGAACGAGACCUUAACCUGCUAAAUAGCCAGGCGAGCUUUGGCUCGUCGCCGGCUUCUUAGAGGGACUAUCGGCUCAAGCCGAUGGAAGUUUGAGGCAAUAACA
rnacentral:rRNA from 1 species